CGAACGCUGGCGGCGUGCUUACCACAUGCAAGUCGAACGGAAAGGCCCUGCUUUUGUGGGGUGCUCGAGUGGCGAACGGGUGAGUAACACGUGAGUAACCUGCCCUUGACUUUGGGAUAACUUCAGGAAACUGGGGCUAAUACCGGAUAGGAGCUCCUGCUGCAUGGUGGGGGUUGGAAAGUUUCGGCGGUUGGGGAUGGACUCGCGGCUUAUCAGCUUGUUGGUGGGGUAGUGGCUUACCAAGGCUUUGACGGGUAGCCGGCCUGAGAGGGUGACCGGCCACAUUGGGACUGAGAUACGGCCCAGACUCCUACGGGAGGCAGCAGUGGGGAAUAUUGCACAAUGGGCGGAAGCCUGAUGCAGCAACGCCGCGUGCGGGAUGACGGCCUUCGGGUUGUAAACCGCUUUCGCCUGUGACGAAGCGUGAGUGACGGUAAUGGGUAAAGAAGCACCGGCUAACUACGUG
rnacentral:rRNA from 1 species